rnacentral:rRNA from 1 species
GGAGUCGGACCUGCCCGGUGACUAAAAUGUUAAACGGCCGCGGUACCCUAACCGUGCAAAGGUAGCAUAAUCAUUUGCCUUUUAAUUGGAGGCUUGUAUGAAUGGUUUGACGAGAGCUAAGCUGUCUCUUUUUUAAUAUUUAGAAAUUAACUUUUAGGUGAAGAGGCCUAAAUUUAUUUGAGGGACGAGAAGACCCUGUUGAGCUUUAAUGUUAUAAUAAAAUGUUGAUUGAUAGGUGAUUUAUAGUUGCCUUUAUUUAUAUUGAAUAUUAUUUAUUAAACUAAAAUAUUGUUUUAUUAUUAAUUUUUAGUUGGGGCGACUGAGGAACAGAUAAAGCUUCCUUUAGAGUUUAGCAUAAAGAAUGGUAAUUUAGUAGUGUUGAUAGAUUUAAAGGAUCCAAUAUUUAUUGAUUAAAGGAAGAAGUUACCACAGGGAUAACAGCGUAAUCUUUCUGGAGAGAUCUUAUCGAAAGGAGGGUUUGCGACCUCGAUGUUGGACUAAGAUAUCCUAAGGGUGUAGAAGCUCUUGACGGUUGGUCUGUUCGACCAUUAAAAUCUUACGUGAUCUGAGU